GAGUUAGAGGUCUUCAAAUUCCACUGCCAACAGUGUCUCUCACAACAGCAUUCCGCAGUCGCAGUUGAUGGACCUGAGCCCUAGGACCAUGCCUCAGGACUACCUGACAUGAUGACUCCUUGCUGUCCCCAGUCCACCUGGCCGUGCUGCUGCUCCAUUUUCAACUGUUCUGCCUGCGGCUAUGGAACCCUGACCUGUUCACCGGACGUGCUACCUGUCCCAGACCUGCUGUUUUCAACUCUCUAGAGACAGCAGGAGCGGUAGAGAUACUCUCAAUGAUCGGCUAUGAAAAGCCAACUGACAUUUACUCUUGAGGUGUUGACUUGUUACACCCUCGACAACUGUGAAUAUUAUUAUUUGACCAUGCUGGUCAUUUAUGAACAUUUGAACAUCUUGGCCAUGUGCUGUUAUAAUCUCCACCCAGCACAGCCAGAAGAGGACUGGCCACCCCUCAUAGCCUCGUUCCUCUCUAGGUUUCUUCCUAGGUUUUGGCCUUUCUAGGGAGUUUUUCCUAGCCACCGUGCUUCUACACCUCCAUUGCUUGCUGUUUGGGGUUUUAGGCUGGGUUUCUGUACAGUACUUUGAGAUAUCAGCUGAUGUAAGAAGGGCUAUAUAAAUACAUUGAUUUGAUAACAAUCUAAUAUAUUGAAGAGAAAUUAGAAAAAUUGCAAUAAAACGGUGGUCCUUCUCCCUAAAUUUCAGCACUGCAUUUGAAAGAGCAGCCCCUUCUCUGCCUUACUCAAUCACCCACACAACUGACAAACACAACUGCAUCUCUCUCUUUCUCCAUAUCCCUCCUACCCUCCCUCACAUCACCUCCUCAUUGCGCUCUGCUUCUAUAAUUCAAAUUCUGUCAGCCUUGUUCCAGACUGCUGGCGCCAGCCUCUCUCUCCAAGACAAAAAAAAGAAGCGAGCAAGAGCGAGGGAGGGAGGGAGGGGGGAAAGGCAGAAGAAAAGAAAGCUGUGUGAGAGACAAAGCCGACGGAGCCACACACACAGCAAGAUGGAGCCGAGAAAGAAGUAGACAGGGAGUUUUGAUAAAGCCAGCUACGAGAUCUGAUUUUUCAGGGCCCAAUAUGCCUAUUUUCCGUUUUCUGCCUCCCAUUUCUCUCUUUUUCCACUCAUUUCCAUUCCUUUUGUUUUACUAAUUGUCUCUCCCUUUGACCUGCCCCCUCUGCUGCCUUCACUGGUUAAAAGCAAUAAAAUAUUAUCCCCC
rnacentral:lncRNA from 1 species